UAAACACGUCCAGCUCCGGUCAUCAGAUGGUUUCACAUGAUAAAAUCAGCAGGAAAAUGAACGGAGUCUGGUGGAGCCUGCUCAGCUCCCAGCUGGUUAGCAUCACAUAUUUCAUGUUUAAUGAAGGCAGGCAGGCUCGGAUGAGUCACAGCCAGCACAGGUUCACCUCCGAGCCCAGCCUGUUCUCUCCAGGAUGAAUAAUUAAAGGAGCAGCCAGCGGUUCCUCCCCGGAGCUCCUCCAGCAGCAGCCCGUUAGCUCGGCUUUCCUUGGCAGCUAGCUGACGCCUCGGUGGCCCGUUACAGCAGCGGGACACGGCCGCUGCUGUGUCGGUUAAACUGAACACUGUGAGCCAGCAGCUGAUACUGAGCAGACCACCAGAGCCACUGGUCUGAAAGCUACUAGCUCCCCUGCAGCUAACCGUUAGCCGAGCCGUCCUCUGCUAGCGGGGCCUUAGCAGGUUAGCCUGCUAGGGUUCUCCUUCACGGAAGCUCCGUGAUGUUCUUCCCGGGACUCAGACGCUGUCACUCGGUCUGUCUCAGCUCCCUGCGCCCGUUCCUGGCCCGGCCCAUCUGAUUGGCUGCUGGCGCACACACCUGCCUAGCGACGUGUGGAGGGAUUUUUCUGAUUGGCUGCCUGAGAGUUCUGUGAGGAGGGUGAGGCUGCAGGGAGGUGAGGAAGGAGCGGAGUCUUCCCCAGCAACAAAACACCUCCAACCUGAUGAUCUGAGCGCGUCUGACCACACACCGAUUAUUACAACAUAUUGUAACUUAUUACAGUCAGUUCAUACCGGUUAACAAUCUGCUGACGUCACACAGAACUAGGGCUCCAUUUUAAAGCUGACACUUCCGUACCUGCAGGACAUUUACCUGUGAUCAAUAUCUUAUAUUGUGUUAUUGUGAAGUAUGAAUACAAAGUUUGGUGAGAAGUAGCUGAAGUCAUUUAUUUCUCAGUCACAGAUGAGUUUAAUUCAUCAAAAAAAAGUCUCCCAGACUCUGCAACAUGACAAGAGACAACUUCACAGUGACGCUGAGCUCACAGGUCACAAUGACUCACUAUAAUAAUAUAUGAAGAUAAUAAAUUAAUGACUCUGAAUCUGUAGUGGUGGGUUAUCUGAGCUGUUAACGGAGUUAAAAGUACAAUAUUUGCCUCUGAGAUGUAAUAGAGUAGAAAAUAUUCCACCGCUGCCUUGUGUAUAACUCAACAUAUUCCAUAUUUGCACAACAUUAUUACACCUCUUAUUAUCACACUGUUUAUUUUAAACUGAAUUUUAAGCAGAAAUCUCUGUUUUGUAUGUGAUACUUUUUCAGCACUCUUUUGAUUCUUAGGCACCAAAAUAAAGUAUUUUUUUUUUUGUGAAAUCCUUUUGAUCAAUAAACCGAUUGUA